UAGGAUCACGUCGUCAGCGAAGGCUUGC
rnacentral:sRNA from 1 species